CUUUUAUGUCAGCUAAAAAUCAUUUGAACAUGAAAUAAACCCAAAAUGGAUUCAUGCAGCUUUAGUUGGCCAUACACUCAUUUGGUGAUUUUUCCCUGCUAUGUCCACCUUUAGUCAGGAUCAAGUAAAAGUACUGAUUUAUUAUGUAGAGAAAGGAAAUUCUUUAAAAUUAGAUUUAUUUAAUUAAAGUGGCAUCUAUUGGAGAUGGCCUUCCUGUUAUUUGGACAUUUCUGCAAAAUGGGUUUCCAAAUAAGGGAUCCCAUACUGACCUAUCUCGAUACACUCACAUACAUAACCCAUAUAUACUCUCUCUGACCAGAUGAAGCACCUAUGUUUUCCCACUCCUCAAGCCUAAGUAUCUGAGUUCUUCUUUCUUCCCCCAGCACCUGUAUGCAUUCCCUCCAUGUAUUGAAUCUGUAUUCUUCCUCCCAAGCUCGGGUAGCUGUAUUCUGCCUAUUUAUCUGCAUUCCCUCCUGUAGUUAUAGUAUCUGUACUCUGUGUCAGGCAUGUACAUCCUACUCGUCUAGUUAUGGAUUCUGCAUUCUCUCUCUUCAGCAUCUCUGUUCUCCCUUUGUAUCUCCAGCAUCUCUAUUCACCCUCUUUAUCUCCAGCAUCUGUAUUCUCCCACUUUGUCUCCAGCAUCUGUAUUCUCCCACUUUGUCUCCAGCAUCUGUAUUCUCCCCUGGGGCACGUCUGAGUAAAGGUCAGCCUUCAGGACCAGACUCAGGGGAGGACAGGCAGGAGUUAUGUCAGGGGCUCAGUGAAAUAAGGGGGACUGAAUGGCUGAAAAAGGGAUAUGGUUUGGGUGGAUUGGGGGGCGUGGCUGCAUGGGUCAGAGGUGGGGCAAAAGGGGCCCCAUUGCUUUCUAUAGCACCCCUGUCCACCUAUCACUGUUACAGGGGCUUCAGACACCACUUUUUUUAUUGUGGGAAGUGGUGACAGCAGUGGCAUUAUGAUUAUGGACCCCACAACUGUGGACAUCUCGGGGCUAUAGUUGAAAGGGGACCCGGUAGGGACCAGAAGAGCCUUGGCUUGCAGGUUGUAUGAAGAAGAGGGGUCACAUUGCCCCAGGGCAUGUAUAGCAGAAACAAGAAAAAAACCUGCUAUGUUUACAUUGCAUUUAUAUUAUCUUUUUCACUUAGGCUUCUUCUUGUUCCCAGUAUCAUUGCAAAAAAAGGAAUAACCGGUUACCACUUUGGCUUCAUAAACCCUGAACUAAUGGAACCAGCCAGAGAAAAUAGGGAUUAUUUGUGCAAAUCAUUAGAUUGAUGUUUAACAAGAGAAGAGGUCGGUGCCUGCGCGUCCCAGCCUGUUAAUGAGUGACAGCCAGUGCCUAUAGCAGCAGUGUGGGAGUGGAAUGUACUGAAAUGGAUCACUAGGUUUUUGCCAGAAGGACCAGAACAAACAGGUUCCCCAGUUCAGGCUGGCAGUUACAGGAAAGGGGCCUGUAGGGAUGUAGGAAGGGGAAAUAACAUAAACCUGGGACAUCCAGUUUUCUAAAUGUGGGAAUAUUUUUCUCUAUGGUCACAGGGUCCCUGAGUUCCUGCCCUCUAAUCCACGCCCACUCAUCCCUAAAUGUGGAAAAGAUCUUAUUAUAUAUGAUCCCGGGCCCCCCUGGGCCCCUGCUGCAGGCCAACCACCUGCUGUCCUUGCACCUGUGUUGCUAUCCUGGUACUGAACGCCACUAUAGAAAAACAAGAACCCGUUGGUAAUGACCGAAAGGGUUACCACCAGGUAUUGGGCAUCCCAGCAAGUGCCACACUACUUCCUCCUUGCAAACGUGAUCGGGGUGGGGGUGAAGCACCCAAAGUACCUGCCAGCGAGCACACCUUGGUUGGCAGGGCCCACAAGGUUAUUCCCCAGUCUGACCCUGGCCCCUCCAGGAGGGCAAGCUUUGCAGUUGCAGAACCAGUGCAGUAGGCAGUUGUCUCGCCUCGGCCUGGAAACCACAUCAAGAUCAACACUUGGCUCCACAACAGUCUUUUUUGUUCCCCAAAACCUGGGGAAGAUGGCCUGCUGGGUGCAUAUCCCUAGGCCCCUCAGCAGUAUAGCAAUAUACUAGACAGGACAAGACUGAGCAGAUAUUUCCUUUAUAUUUUCAAUCAUUGUCAGUCUUUGAGGGCCAACAUUAUUCAUUGCCACUUUGGUAUAAUGGAUAGGAAGGAAUCACCCAUUGGGGCACAGUGAGCACGGCCAACGCAUAGCCCAAUAACAAAUAAACAUUUUGCUUUCGUUUAUUUCUGUACUUUGUGUCGUGCUGAGAGAAGUGUCACUGAGAGGGUGUAUUGUUGUCACGUAUAGUGACUGGUGACAUUGUCCUGACUAUGCCACUCUGCGGGUGGUGCUGUGUGUUGAAUGAAUCCCUUAUCUUGCACCCAUAUGGUGGCCAAGCUUAUUCCCAGAUGGACACGGGAUGCUGAGCAGCCAUGGGAGGUCACAGAGAGGGAAAGGAAGGCAAGCACGGAGCCGCAAGUCUAUGUCACACACUCGGCUCCAGCCAUGGCUGUCACUGCGCAGGAACAGAUUUUGUUGUGACAGUGUUUGUGGCAUGAUGUGAUUGCCUGACAGCUUAAGGAUGGAGUCAAUGUAAACAAACAUUUUACUAAUCCGCCCAUUAGCAUCUGCACAAGCCUGGUCGCCCCAGCUGGUGGCCCUAUAACCCUCUGUGUGCCAGAAAGGACUUGUGUGCCUGCCAAGGGGUUUGUCACCAGCUGCUGAGGGAUCAUAUGUACUGUACUGACCAUCACACAGACACAGCCACUCACACAGAUAUGAACACACAUGCAGGCACACACAAUUAUACAUGUGUACAACAAUAUGUCUUGCUCUGUCUUGGUGCUCAGAUCCACCCAAAAAUGGAGAUUAAGGAGCCUUAGUAAAAAUAAAUGGGAAUGAGCAGCAAAAGGUUAUGCACCCCAAUAUGGGUUGUGGUACCCCCUAGUGCCACCUCAACUCUUGGCAUUGCAACUACCAUAGAUCUCGACUUUGGUUCACUAUUAUAUAUGUGUCCAGUUUUAAGAGGUAAUUUCUGACUGCAAACACAGCACUGAAAGGAGAACUGUUGCGCCUAUUAAUGCCUGGAGCUGCCACCACCUCCAAACUAGGCGGUAGAAUUGUCCUGCGUCAAUAGGUACAGUGCAGAUGCACCAAAAAAAUGUGGCACACAUCACUCUCAUGUAGAAUGCCAACUGGACUUUCAGUGCAAUUGCAUAAGGUACAAUGGGCAGGAAAAACACUUGGAGAUUCUAUUAGCUGGGGGGGUGGGGGUGCUCAACAUAUCUGAGCCCCAGUAAAUCAGGGCUUUCUUGUCCUCUGGAGAACAAAAGCUAAGCUAAGUUAAGUUAGGACCCUUUUUGUGAACAGGUGGGGCUGAAUUAGGGGGUGAAGUGGCAGGGCUGAAUUAGGGAGGUUCAGUGGUGGGGCUGAAUUUGGGGGUGCAGUGGUUGGCCUUUAUUGCAGUAUUGGAGCUGAAAUGGGGGUGUAGUGGUGGAGCUGAAGCUGAAUUUGGUGGUGCAGCAGUUGGGCUGAAUUAGGGGUGCAGUGAUGGGGCUGAAUUUGGGGGUUGCAGUGGUACAUUUCAGGAAAGAGGCCACUCCAGGGGUCAUUAAUAGGUACAUGGUUUUUGUUCUCUAAGCCUUCCUGGAUGUUUUAGCAUAGACAUGUUUGAUGGGUGCUAAACAAAGAGCAGCCGCCAUAUACUGAUAUGAAUACCAUAAAAUAGCCCUCUUCCUUUCUUUGAAGCUUUAAUCACCCCUGUUGAUGCUAGGAUCCCACCCAGGCUAUUAUGGGGCAGGAGGAGGCAGUUACCAAUUAGUCCCCCAUAUCUUCCCUUGGGCUUCGCUGUUGAUCACUGCUAUAAUGUCCGACAGGUUUCUCUUGUGCAAGUGAGACGCCACCAUUCCCAGCUCUAUGUGAGCGCAGGCCUCUCGCUGCAUUCUUUUUAGCUCACCAAAUCCCAGCUCAGCCAAUGGAUUUCAUAUCUGGGCACAGGAGAUCUCUCCCUAGUUAGUGAGUGCUGGAAUUUUGAGCUGGCAGCACAGAGCCCAACGCUGAUACUCCGAGCCAUACAAAUCCCCAACGGCUCAUGGGAUUCUCAAAUACAAUCUCUUCCCUGUUUACCUUUUAUCCUUUAAUUCAAUGCAUGUGACUAAUUAGCUAACGAAUGUUCAGGAAAAUGAUGAUAAAGAUAUUGCUGAGCCGCUGCCUUUGCCGAACGCCUGAAAUGCUUUGUACUGAGUUCAACUCCAGCCACGAGCAGAAAGGGGUUUGAUCAACGCAGAUAAAUGGGACCACAAUCCUCUGUGAUGUCAUCUCAUCUUGAUUGGAUCCAUUUGCCUGUGACAGGCUGAGUUCUAUGAGAACAGAUGCACCCACUUAGCUGUACUUUAUACUUGGAUCGUGGGAGAAUGUAUAGAUAAGGAGGCCAUACACUGCCAGAUUGGAUUGGCCACUUUUUGUCAUUCCCUCUAUACUGCCAAACCUAUAUGGGCAGCUCUGUCUACAUGUUCAGGCUCAUAGGUGGUGGAUAAUUUUUGUGUUUGGGGCUGGAAGUAGGGGCAGAGAGGCUCCUGAUUAGGGUCCAGGGGUAGGGGGCGCAAUUGAUGGGGCUGUAAAUGGAAUAAAUGAUUGUAGGGAUUACUCUAAAACGGCUCCAGGGUUGGACUGGGGUGUGUGAGACCCACUGGGGUUGCUACCGACAACCCCUCAGGGGCCCCAACCUCCCGGGCACCCACCGCCAGCCCUUUCCCCACACAUGCAUACCUUAUACACUACGCCGUGGUUGGGGGUAGGAGGGCAGUGAUGGCAGUGAUGGCAGGUUGGGACUGGAUCUGGGUUGGUGGAGCCCAUGAGAAUCAAGGCCCACCGCGUUUUUUCCCAGUGUUCCUCCAACCCAGUCCGACCCUGAUUGGCUCAUAGCCUCUACACAGAGAUACCAUAAAACUAAAGCCCAAUUUCGGUUAGGCUGAAUUAGACUAUAAUGCCUGGUCACCUGGACAAUCAGGAAGACGGUCAGACCAUUAAUAUGGCAAUCCUGGUCAAUGGGGCGCAGGAGACCAGGGCCAAUGUUUAACAUCUGAUGUGGCACGGGGGCAGUGCGAAUGCUGCAGAUGGAGGGAGUGCCGCAGCUCAGUAAAGAUCCACUGAAGAGAAGCCACCCUGAGAGGAACCCGUGAGAGAGCAAGUGAGGCAUGAAGCAAAACAUGCCAUGGCGCCAGAUAGAAAACAUGCACCGGGGUCACAGAUCAUGUCAUCUGCAAACAUGGCUAACUGCAAAGAGAGAAGCUGUAGGGAGUAAAUACAGUAGGCAGGAACUGCUGCAGAACUAUAAGUCGGCCACCCCAAGGGAUCCCUGCCUAUAGCAUCGAGUUUUGUAUCAUUUUCAUGUCUAUGGAGCCCACAGGCAGUCAGUUCUUAGAGCAAAGUUUACACAAUGGAAUUGUAAGACAGGUUGCAGUUGGUCUUUAUUAUUUAUUCAUUGUGCUUUGUUUGUGCUCUGUUCUGUUUUGCAACUCCCCAGUUUCAACAUUAAAUGGUUAUCUGGUUGCUAGGGCUUAACCUACCCUAGCAACGGGGCAAUGGUUUAUAAGGCAGAUAAUGUCAAUUAUCCUGUAGAUUGUAAGCUCUUGCAAGUAGGGCCCUCUGAUCCUAUUGUUACUCUGACUAUCCUUGUUUGUUAAACUUUUAAGAUCCCUGUUUGUUUACAUUUAUUGUGAAGCGUUGUGUAAUUUACUGGCGCUGUAUAAACGAUGAUAUUAUUUAAAGGAGAUAUUAACCCCAAAAUAAAGUGUUGCCUUAUGAAAUUCA